rnacentral:lncRNA from 1 species
AAGAAAGGCAAUUUACACUUUAACUAUUCACUAACCAUGCAAACUGAAUGCCUAAAUAAACCUUUCUCUGUGAAUGAGAUACUUUUUGUCAUGUUUAAUUUUUUUUAAAUAAUAAUCACUCUGUCUGACUGAGGGAUUAUUAUGGUGUUAUUAUGGUGUUAUUAUGGUGUUACUCAGUGAUUAUUAUGGUGUUACUCAGUGAUUAUUAUGGUGUUACUCAAUGAUUAUUAUGGUGUUACUCAGUGAUUAUUAUGGUGUUAUUAUGGUGUUAUUAUGGUGUUACUCAGUGAUUAUUAUGGUGUUACUCAGUGAUUAUUAUGGUGUUACUCAGUGAUUAUUAUGGUGUUAUUAUGGUGUUAUUAUGGUGUUACUCAGUGAUUAUUAUGGUGUUACUCAGUGAUUAUUAUGGUGUUACUCAGUGAUUAUUAUGGUGUUAUUAUGGUGUUAUUAUGGUGUUACUCAGUGAUUAUUAUGGUGUUACUCAGUGAUUAUUAUGGUGUUAUUAUGGUGUUAUUAUGGUGUUACUCAGUGAUUAUUAUGGUGUUACUCAGUGAUUAUUAUGGUGUUAUUAUGGUGUUACUCAGUGAUUAUUAUGAUGUUACUCAGUGAUUAUUAUGGUGUUACUCAGUGAUUAUUAUGGUGUUAUUAUGGUGUUAUUAUGGUGUUAUUAUGGUGUUACUCAGUGAUUAUUAUGAUGUUACUCAGUGAUUAUUAUGGUGUUACUCAGUGAUUACUAUGUGAUUAUUAUGGUGUUAUUAUGGUGUUAUUAUGGUGUUACUCAGUGAUUAUUAUGGUGUUACUCAGUGAUUAUUAUGGUGUUAUUAUGGUGUUACUCAGUGAUUAUUAUGAUGUUACUCAGUGAUUAUUAUGGUGUUACUCAGUGAUUAUUAUGGUGUUAUUAUGGUGUUAUUAUGGUGUUACUCAGUGAUUAUUAUGGUGUUACUCUGAUUAUUAUAGUGUUAUUAUGGUGUUAUUAUGGUGUUACUCAGUGAUUAUUAUGGUGUUACUCAGUGAUUAUUAUGGUGUUACUCAGUGAUUAUUAUGGUGUUACUCAGUGAUUAUUAUGGUGUUACUCAGUGAUUAUUAUGAUGUUACUCAGUGAUUAUUAUGGUGUUACUCAGUGAUUAUUAUGAUGUUACUCAGUGAUUAUUAUGGUGUUACUCAGUGAUUAUUAUGUUGUUACUCAGUGAUUAUUAUGAUGUUACUCAGUGAUUAUUAUGGUGUUACUCAGUGAUUAUUAUGGUGUUACUCAGUGAUUAUUAUGAUGUUACUCAGUGAUUAUUAUGGUGUUACUCAGUGAUUAUUAUGGUGUUACUCAGUGAUUAUUAUGAUGUUACUCAGUGAUUAUUAUGAUGUUACUCAGUGAUUAUUAUGGUGUUACGCAGUGAUUAUUAUAUUGGUACUCAGUGAUUAUUAUAUUGUUACUCAGUGAUUAUUAUGGUGUUACUCAUUGAUUAUUAAGGUGUUACUCAGUGAUUAUUAUGAUGUUACUCAGUGAUUAUUAUGGUGUUACUCAGUGAUUAUUAUGGUGUUACUCAGUGAUUAUUAUGGUGUUACUCAGUGAUUAUUAUGAUGUUACUCAGUGAUUAUUAUGAUGUUACUCAGUGAUUAUUAUGGUGUUACUCAGUGAUUAUUAUGAUGUUACUCAGUGAUUAUUAUGGUGUUACUCAGUGAUUAUUAUGAUGUUACUCAGUGAUUAUUAUGAUGUUACUCAGUGAUUAUUAUGGUGUUAUUCAGUGAUUAUUAUGGUGUUACUCAGUGAUUAUUAUGAUGAUACUCAGUGAUUAUUAUGGUGUUACUCAGUGAUUAUUAUGAUGUUACUCAGUGACACCAUUAUAUUGUUACAUGCAACAGUCAGGUGUGUCUUGAGCUAUUCUGGUGGCUCAUUAUGAGACUGUGGAACAAUGAUUGUCAGAACAAUGGCUGCCUGGGCGGAUACACUGCCAAUCCAGUUCUGUCAGUUUGGCGCCUGGCAGCAUAUACACACGUUGACAUGCACAAAUAAUACCACUCCUGUUUACCUGGCAUUUAAACUGGGCAAAGGCAAGUGCUGAGAGACAUUCCCCACAUAUAUUGUCCCAUUAGUCAAUCAAAAUAUGACAACUUUAUAAUAUAGCCCAUGCCAGGGGCCCAUCUGGAACAUUCUUAUAUGACAGACAUACUAUUGGCAUUGUUUGGUCACAGGGAAAGAACACAUGAAAACAGAGACAGAUGUGUGAGAAAGAGAGGACAGGGAAAGAGAGAACACAUGAAAACAGAAAGAGAUG